GCAUAUGACUACUGGCAGGAUCAACCAGGUAGCAUUCCUCACUCGACAUCAAACAACGCAUGAGACGCUCCGCAAGGGUUCGUUCAACGCGUGCAUAAUUGUCGUUCGCACRAAGCGUGGGACGCUCGAUUUGGGGCAACUCAAGGUUUAGUGACCUCGCGCCCGCUCAAUGUUCCGUACCCGAGAGACCACGCACAACAUCAUGGUUCAACAAUUCAAGCWCACCUUGGUGGCAUGAAAAGUGAAACACAACGAGUGCUACAAAGUCCACCCAACGCCGAAUCCCGAAAGGUUCGACGRURGAUGGAUGACAGAAGAUUCCAACAAACAAAUGCCCUCAAAUUAGGAACGCAGCACAGGAAACCAAAAACGGGCAAGACGUGCCAAAUCCGACAACUGAAAAGGCAUGCAGAACACAUUGUCCAUGCUCAAGCAAGGAUCCAACGUGCCAAUACAAACCAAACACCACUCA
rnacentral:misc_RNA from 1 species